GACGAACGCUGGCGGCGUGCCUAAUACAUGCAAGUUGAGCGCUGAAGGUUGGUACUUGUACCAACUGGAUGAGCAGCGAACGGGUGAGUAACGCGUGGGGAAUCUGCCUUUGAGCGGGGGACAACAUUUGGAAACGAAUGCUAAUACCGCAUAAAAACUUUAAACACAAGUUUUAAGUUUGAAAGAUGCAAUUGCAUCACUCAAAGAUGAUCCCGCGUUGUAUUAGCUAGUUGGUGAGGUAAAGGCUCACCAAGGCGAUGAUACAUAGCCGACCUGAGAGGGUGAUCGGCCACAUUGGGACUGAGACACGGCACAAACUCCUACGGGAGGCAGCAGUAGGGAAUCUUCGGCAAUGGACGAAAGUCUGACCGAGCAACGCCGCGGGAGUGAAGAAGGUUUUCGGAUCGUAAAACUCUGUUGGUAGAGAAGAACGUUGGUGAGAGUGGAAAGCUCAUCAAGUGACGGUAACUACCCAGAAAGGGACGGCUAACUACGUG
rnacentral:rRNA from 1 species